rnacentral:lncRNA from 1 species
UAAAUAUUCAGAACCUAUAAUAUUAACCCUCUCCUACGCCUUUUCACAAAAUCUAAAUCCUACUACAUUCUUACUACUUCCCUCCUUUCUUCAAUAAUCCUGCUACUCUUGUCAGACCUGUGUUCUCAAAUAGAAAUUUAAGAUAAAAAAAAUAAGAAAAAUAACUAAAAUAUACCAAUAAAUAGUACCUUUUGUAACCGAAGAAGUACAAACUUUUAAAUUAAGCAAGCCUGCCAAGUAUCAAUACAACCUACAAAAUAUUUUGAAAACCUAGUUCGUUAAAAAUAGCAUUAGUACAAUAUCAAUCAAACAUAUCAGACAAAUAUUACUAAUUUCAAAAAACCUUUGAAGUCGAAAUUUGUUCAUGGUUGCAAAUACCCAUAUUGAUCCAAUUUCAAGAAGCUGAAUCUCCUAUAUUUUGCCCAUCUUCUGCUUACAUAGUAGUGAAUUGUAUAUGUUACAAAAAUUCACUCAACCUUUCCAGGCCACACUUUAUGCCUUACAUUAAUAGUAAUUUCAACAUUACAAAAUUUACACUAGGCACAACCAUAUAAAGAAUACAAAAUGAUUUCAUUCAAAAGGGUGACCAAGUGUAAUAUUAUCUCUCAACAAAAGUAUAAAAUAAAAUAUUAAAUACACCAUAACAAAUACACUAAAUAGAUACACGAAAAACUCAUUCAAAACAAUAUCACAAUAACCAAAAAACAUGAUUCUGCGUAGUUUAAUCAAUAACCACCAACCAUCACAUUCAAGCAGAAACAAUUAAACAAUUUACUAUAUUCCAAACAAAAUUUAGAAUUACACAUUACUCAUAUAUUGGUCAAUCCAUAAACCAAUCAAUAAAUAUAUGCAAUAUUUUAUAUAAUAUAUAAUGUAUGUAUACAAAUAUAUACGUAAAUUACUUAUAUAAUAUAUAUAGAUAAGAUACUACUACAUAUGUAAAUAUACUUGUAUACUAUAUGUAUAUUACAUACAUCAUAUAUUAUAAUUUAUAAUAUAAUAUAAUAUAAUAUAAUACAUAUAUAUAUAUAUAAUUAUAUUUUGCCCAUCUUCUGCUUACAUAGUUUUGUUGUAUAUGUUACAAAAAUUCACUCAACUUUUCCAGGCCACACUUUAUGCCUUGCAUUAAUAGUAAUUUCAACAUUACAAAAAUUUCACUAGGCACAACCAUAUAAAGAAUACAAAAUGAUUUCAUUCAAAAGGGUGACCAAGUGUAAUUUUAUCUCUCAACAAAAGUUUAAAAUAAAAUAUUAAAUACACCAUAACAAAUACACUAAAUAGAUACAUGAAAAACUCAUUCAAAACAAUAUCACAAUAACCAAAAAACAUGAUUCUGCGUAGUUUAAUCAAUAACCACCAACCAUCACAUUCAAGCAUAAACAAUUAAACAAUUUACUAUAUUCCAAACAAAGUUUAGAAUUACACAUUACUCAUAUAUUAGUCAACCCAUAAACAAAUCAAUAAAUAUAUGUAAUAUAUUUUAUAGAAUAUAUAAUAUAUAAUAUGUAUUUAUUAAAAUAUAUAUGUAUAUUACUUAUAUAAUAUAUAUAGAUAAUAUACUACUACAUAUGUAGAUAUACUUGUAUACUAUAUGUAUAUUAUAUACAUCAUAUAUUAUAAUAUAAUAUAAUAUAUAAUAUAUAUAUAAAUAUAAUAUAUAUAUAUACCUAUUUCCUAAAUAUUCAGAACCUAUAAUAUUAACCCUCUCUUACGCCUUUCACAAAAUCUAAAUCCUACUACAUUCUUACUACUUCCCUACUUUCUCCAAUAAUCCAGCUACUCUUGUCAGACCUGUGUUCUCAAAUAGAAAUUUAAGAUAAAAAAAUAAGAAAAAUAAAUAAAAUAUACCAAUAAAUAGUACCUUUUGUAACCGAAGAAGUACAAACUUUUAAAUUAAGCAAGCCUGCCAAGUAUCAAUACAACCU